rnacentral:lncRNA from 1 species
GAAACACACAUUUAGAUAAGUGGAUAUGUGCAUGUGGCAAAUGAAUGAUCCCGAGGCACAAAUGAAGUCCUCGUUGUCGGAUUGCACAUGGUAGGAAAAUAAUUAUGGAUCAAUCUUAACCUUGAGAGCACUGGGAACUUUAACGAGGCUCAAAGAACUCAGGAGCAUUUUAUUCCUUUUCUCCUUUAUUAUUUUUUUCUUUUCUUUUUCAUUCCUUUUUCUUUUCUUUCUUCUUUUUUUCUCAUUUUUUCUUUUUC